rnacentral:rRNA from 1 species
CCUACGGGAGGCAGCAGUCGAGAAUCAUUCACAAUGGGGGAAACCCUGAUGGUGCGACGCCGCGUGGGGGAAUGCAGGUCUUCGGAUUGUAAACCCCUGUCAUGUGGGAGCAAAUUAAAAAGCUAGUACCACAUGAGGAAGAGACGGCUAACUCGGUGCCAGCAGCCGCGGUAAUACAGAGGUCUCAAGCGUUGUUCGGAUUCACUGGGCGUAAAGGGUGCGUAGGCUGUUUCGUAAGUCGUGUGUGAAAGGCGCGGGCUCAACCCGCGGAUGGCACAUGUUACUGGGAGACUAGAGUAAUGGAGGGGGAACCGGAAUUCGCGGUGGAGCAGUGAAAUGCGUAGAUAUCGAGAGGAACACUCGUGGCGAAGGCGGGUUCCUGGACAUUAACUGACGCUGAGGCACGAAGGCCAGGGGAGCGAAAGGGAUUAGAUACCCGGGUAGUC